GACGAACGCUGGCGGCGUGCUUAACACGUGCAAGUCGAACGGAAAGGCCCUGCUUUUGUGGGGUGCUCGAGUGGCGAACGGGUGAGUAACACGUGAGUAACCUACCCUUGACUUUGGGAUAACUUCAGGAAACUGGGGCUAAUACCGGAUAGGAGCUCCUGCUGCAUGGUGGGGGUUGGAAAGUUUCGGCGGUUGGGGAUGGACUCGCGGCUUAUCAGCUUGUUGGUGGGGUAGUGGCUUACCAAGGCUUUGACGGGUAGCCGGCCUGAGAGGGUGACCGGCCACAUUGGGACUGAGAUACGGCCCAGACUCCUACGGGAGGCAGCAGUGGGGAAUAUUGCACAAUGGGCGGAAGCCUGAUGCAGCAACGCCGCGUGCGGGAUGACGGCCUUCGGGUUGUAAACCGCUUUCGCCUGUGACGAAGCGUGAGUGACGGUAAUGGGUAAAGAAGCACCGGCUAACUACGUG
rnacentral:rRNA from 1 species